GCGAGGCGCACCUAGGGUUCCUCCGAUCCUCGCCGGAUCGGGUUUGCGACCGAGAGGUGCAGGCAGGGCUUCGGCCCUGUUCCACGGCGGGAUAAAAGCCCGGGAGGC
rnacentral:sRNA from 2 species